AUUGAACGCUGGCGGCAGGCCUAACACAUGCAAGUCGAGCGGAUGAAGGGAGCUUGCUCCUGGAUUCAGCGGCGGACGGGUGAGUAAUGCCUAGGAAUCUGCCUGGUAGCGGGGGAUAACGUCCGGAAACGGGCGCUAAUACCGCAAUCGCCCUGAGGGCGAAAGGGUGGGAUCUUCGGACCUUCCGCUAUCAGAUGAGCCUAGGUCGGAUUAGCUAGUUGGUGGGGUAAAGGCCUACCAAGGCGACGAUCCGUAACUGGUCUGAGAGGAUGAUCAGUCACACUGGAACUGAGACACGGUCCAGACUCCUACGGGAGGCAGCAGUGGGGAAUAUUGGACAAUGGGCGAAAGCCUGAUCCAGCCAUGCCGCGUGUGUGAAGAAGGUCUUCGGAUUGUAAAGCACUUUAAGUUGGGAGGAAGGGCAGUAAGUUAAUACCUUGCUGUUUUGACGGUACCAACAGAAUAAGCACCGGCUAACUUCGUG
rnacentral:rRNA from 1 species